rnacentral:rRNA from 1 species
UACGAAGGGGGCUAGCGUUGUUCGGAAUCACUGGGCGUAAAGCGCACGUAGGCGGAUUUUUAAGUCAGGGGUGAAAUCCCGAGGCUCAACCUCGGAACUGCCUUUGAUACUGGAGAUCUUGAGUCCGGAAGAGGUAAGUGGAACUGCGAGUGUAGAGGUGAAAUUCGUAGAUAUUCGCAAGAACACCAGUGGCGAAGGCGGCUUACUGGUCCGGAACUGACGCUGAGGUGCGAAAGCCAGGGGAGCAAACGGG